GCCUGAUGAAACAGGUCAGUGUAUCUGGCUGUUAACCAGAAGGUUGGUGGUUCGAGUCCACCCAGGGGUU